rnacentral:rRNA from 1 species
UCUGGUGAUGAUAACUAUAAGGAAAUACCUGUACCCAUACCGAACACAGAAGUCAAGCUUAUCAGUGCCAAAGAUACUUAGGAGUUUCCUCCUUGGAAAAAUAGGUCGUUGCCAGGU